rnacentral:rRNA from 1 species
AGACGUCUACAUUAGAUACCCCGGUAGUCCCAGCCGUAAACUAUGCGCGUUAGGUGUAUCGGUGACCACGAGUUACCGAGGUGCCGAAGGGAAACCGUGAAACGUGCCGCCUGGGAAGUACGGUCGCAAGGCUGAAACUUAAAGGAAUUGGCGGGGGAGCACCACGAACAGGUGGAAGCCUGCGGUUUAAUUGGACUCAACGCCGGGAAGCUCACCGGAUAGGACAGCAGAAUGAUUGCCGGGCUGAAGACCCUGCAUGACUAGCUG